UUCAAAUGAAGCUUUUCUCGUGACCCCAACCCAGAUCCAAAUCCCAAAAUUCCUCUCUUCCUCUCCCCCCUCCUCCUUCCGUCCCCAAAACCCCGCCCUCAACAAGCUCCGCCUCCGCCUCCGCCGCAUCUUCGACCUCUUCGCCCUCAACUCCGACGACCUCAGCUCCUCCUCCGAGCUCUUCCUCGCCCUCCACCGCCUCGGGCUCGCUGUACCGCAGCCCCAAAUCCGCCAUCACUCUCGUCGUCGACCAACUCUGAGAUCCCCCUCCCUCCUCCCCCCAAGACCCCAUCCAGUCUGAGAUCCCCCUCCCUCCUCCGCCGCAUCUGGUUAAAAAGAACACCGACGCUGACGUCGAUGCCCGAGAUCCGACGAUGCCGACGCCGCGAGCUCCAGUUCAGCCCCACUCUCAAUCUCAAAGGCGAAUGCUGGUCCAUAUGACAAAGGUUGGAUUAUGAAGGUCAAGAUGAGCAACUCAGGGGAGUUAGAAUCUUUGAUGGAUGCUGAUCAAUAUAUGAAAUUUUGCGAAGAAGAGGAUGCAAAACACUGAGGAAUACUUUAUUUUCCUUGGUGUAGUUAUAACACCUUAUUCACACUACGUUUUCUUCUCCAGGACAACAUCAGAAAGCCAAAACAGCAAGACCGCUGCCACAACUAGCUACAUGCACACGGAGUAUGAGCUUGAAUAAUGGUGGUCAUUUACAACCAGUUGUGAUGAGCCCAGGAAGAAGGAGAAAAUCUACAGAUUCAGAGCUUUAAUAGGUCUCAAAAGGCGAUAUUUUGAUCAUAGAAAAAUGGAUUGCAUCAAGGCUGAGUUCCAGACAGAAUGAAA